CAGGAUUCCCUUAGUAAUGGCGAAUGAACUGGGAGAUGCUCACUGUGGAAAUCGAGACAUCCCGUCUCGAAUUGUAAUCUCAAGACGUAUUGCCAACGGCGGCGCAGGAGCAAGCCUCUUGGAAAAGAGCAUCGUUGAGGGUGAAAGUCCCGUCUGUCUCCUGCAGUCCGUUGUGUACGGCAUGCGCUCUACGAGUCACGUUCCUCGGGAUUGGAGCGCAAACUGGGUGGUAAAUUUCAUCUCAAGCUAAACAUGGGUUCGAGACCGAUAGAAAACAAGUACCAUGAGGGAAAUAUGAAAAGGACUUUGAAAAGAGAGUUAAAAUUGCCUGAACUUGCUGAAAGGAAAGCGGAUGGAGCCAGUCUUGCGAGGCGAGAUUGUCUGGAGGGGGAAUGCACCUGCUGCUUCGUAGCGAAAGCGCGAAGGAGUUGGUUGCCUUUGCCAUCUUGAUGCUUCUUGUCUUUCGUGUCACCGUGUAAUUGGUGGUGGGGUUGACUGGGGAUUCAUGGUCCCACUCCUCUGGGCGUGCGAACGGUUCCCCUAGAACCCACUGCCAAUCGGAUCGGUGACAAAAUGGUUCCCUUCGACCCGUCUUGAAACACGGACCAAGGAGUCUAACAAAUGUGCAAGCUACUAGGUGGAGAAACCUAGGGGGCUCAAUGAAAGUGAUUACUGCGAUAUUUGCAGCAGCAGCCGACCGAUCGAUUGGGAGAGGUUUGAGCAUGAGCAUAUUUGUUAGGACCCGAAAGAUGGUGAACUAUGCCUGAGAAGGGCGAAGUCUGGGGAAACUCAGAUGGAGGCUCGUAGCGAUACUGACGUGCAAAUCGUUCGUCAUACUUGGGUAUAGGGGCGAAAGACUAAUCGAACCAUCUAGUAGCUGGUUCCCUCCGAAGUUUCCCUCAGGAUAGCUGGAGACGAACAGUUUUAUCAGUUAAAGCGAAUGAUUAGAGGAAUCGGGGGCGUGUUGUCCUCGACCUUUCUCGAACUUUAAAUGGGUAGGUGCCAGGAGUUGCUUAGUUGAACUCCUGGCGUAAAUUGGAACUCCAAGUGGGCCAUGUUUGGUAAGCAGAACUGGCGAUAAGGGGUGAACCGGACGUUGGGAUAAGGUGCUCAACUGCUCGCCCAUCAGAUACCAUAAAGGGUGUUUGUUCAUUUAACAGCAGGACGGUGGUCAUGGAAGUCGAAAUCCGCUAAGGAGUGUGUAACAACUCACCUGCCGAAU
rnacentral:rRNA from 1 species